rnacentral:lncRNA from 1 species
GUUAAACAAGCAAGCCAUAAACAUAACAUACCGUCGAGAUAAUUAUCGGAACCACCAUCGAUUAACUAUCAAGACAUUAUCGCGAUAACACAUAAACCAUGACAAGCAAGAAAACAUCAAUGAAUCAAUCAAUAAAAACGACUCAAGACUCGGCCACGGUCACGCUCUCACCUUUCUCACACGGAUUCACUUUCCGACACCUCUUGUCGCUUACUCGUCCGAUCGGAUCCAAUAAACUCUCGCAAAGCACCCGGAUCUACACCAUGAACACAGAUCUCACUUUUUUACCGACAAUACUCGAAGAACAAUUGAUAAACAAUCGAUAAACACCAAGUUUACACGAUACUUACCAAGAUUCUCGAGACUUACUCGAUCUAUACUCGAUCUUUCUCACGGAUUCUCGACAAACACUUAACUUUCUCGAUGAAAAGGUUGCCGAUCGCCUUUAGGGUUCUUACGCGUGAAAACGCUAACAAAUGGUCGGCAGGUCUUUAUAUAGGCUCGAGAAAAUUCCCGAUCCGUCGAGAAUAUUCGAUGGAAUAUCCAUUAUUCCGAUCUUCUUCGAGAUUUUAUCCGAUUCUCCGAACAACCAUCGAGAAUAUCCAAUCCCACGAAUCUCGGCUUACCAACACAGGCGGGUUACCGAAUCGGAUCGACAAAAUAUCGAGCGGAUCUUUGCAUCACCGACAGCCACUCGAUAGAGUUCCGACAACCAGUCCGAUAAACACGCAAUGGUCGAUACUCUUCCGACAAACUUGUCCGAAAAUCUUUUAUUGUCCGAACAAAUCAGAAGAUUGUCCAAACACUCAACUUUUCCUUCGAUCAUUCGGAUUUCCGACAGCAUACACCGAUCUUUCUCGAUAAACUUCGAUCGUACCGAUAAAUCCUCGACAAAUUGAUCAAAUCUUCAAUAAACUUAUGUUUCCUCGUUCAUUGGCACGUCCAGUACCGGCUAGGAUUCUUCGGAGACGGGUGUUACAGCUCUCCCCCACUUAGAAUAGAUUCGUUCUCGAAUCUAAACUUUCUCUUUCGAGACUUCUCGCUUCUCAAACCAUUUCUUGAAAUUUACCCUCAUUACUUCCUCCGGUUCCCAAGUAGUCUCUUCUUCUCCGUCACAAUCCCACACAACUUGAAUCAACUUAACCUUUUUCUUUCUUCCAGCUCUUGACUUCCUCCCAAUAAUUCGAACUGGUCUUCCAACAAUAGUCAUAUUCGCUUGCAAAUCCGCUGGAAGCUCCGUUGAGACAUUCUCUCGAGGUGUUAUGCAUUUCCUUAGCAUAGACACGUGAAACACUUUGUGAAAUGCUUUCAUUGCCGGAGGCAAUUCAAGUCGAUAGGCCACUGCUCCAAUUCUUUCCAGAAUUCGGUACGGUCCCAUGUACCUCGGAGUUAACUUUGUGUUCAAGGCUGCACGGUCUUUACCCUUAUAAGUAACCGUCUUAAGGUAAACCAUGUCUCCCACCUGAAAUUCCAACUCUCACCGACGCUUAUCGGCAUAACUCUUUUGUCUAUCUUGAGCUUCUUUCAUUUUAGCCUUCAACACUUUGAUCUUCUCGGUCGUUUCUUGCACAAAGUCCCGACCAUAGACACUUCGCUCCCCCACUUGUGUCCAACACAGCGGUGUUCGACAAGGCCUACCAUACAACGCUUCAUAUGGUGACAUUCCAAUACUCGCUUGAUAACUAUUGUUAUAGGUAAACUCUGCCAAAUGCAAGUAACUCGUCCAAUCUCCACCCCAAUCCAGAACACUCGCUCUCAACAAAUCCUCAAGUGUUUGGAUUGUUCUCUCGGACUGUCCGUCCGUUUGUGGAUGAUGAGCCGUGCUCAUGUUCAAUCUUGUACCAAAUUGCUUUUGAAGAGCUUUCCAAAACCCAGCAGUAAACUUGGAGUCACGAUCCGAUACUAUACUCGCCGGCACUCCAUGAUACCGAACGAUAUUCUCCACGUAAAGCUUUGCAAGCUUCUCGGUUCCAUCUGUCUUAUUCAUCGGCAGAAAAUGUGCGGACUUUGUUAGUCGAUCGACAAUAACCCAAAUAGAAUCUUUCUCCUCGCACAAAGGCAAACCGGUAACAAAAUCCAUGGCUAUCAUAUCCCAUUUCCACUCGGGAAUUGGUAAACUUUGCAACAGUUCUCCUGGAACUUGAUGUUCAGCUUUAACUCUUUGACAAGUCGAACAAGAAGCAACCCAUCUAGCAACAUCCUCUUUCAUCCCUCGCCAAUGAUAAUAUCUCUUCAAGUCUCGAUACAUUUUUGUUGAUCACGGAUGUAUCGAAAACUUAGACUGAUGUGCUUCCUUAAGAAUUUCUUUCCGAAGUUCCUCAUCCUUCGGAACGCACACGCGGCCCUUUACCAAUAUCGUCCCAUUGCUCGAAGUCUGGUACUCGGUCUUAUCAUUCUUCGAUAACUUAAUGAGUUCCUCAUCUUUUUCUUGUGCUGUCCGAACACGAGUCAAUAAAUCGGCUUGAUCCGCGGCACCCAAACCCAAAGGCUCUAACUCUUCCGAUAUCGCUGCCGCAAGUUCAACUCCGGCUGGGUGAAAAUAUACUUGAGACUUUUGUGGUCCGUGAAAACUUGAACUUUCCCACCGUAAAGGUAAGAACGCCAAAUUUUCAAAGCAAACACGACCGCCGCCAUUUCUAAGUCGUGAGUGGGGUAAUUCGCUUCGUGCUUCCUUAGCUGCCGAGAGGCAUAAGCGAUUACCUUACCAUGCUGCAUUAAGACACAUCCAAGUCCCAUCCUUGAUGCAUCCGUAUAGACCACAUAAGGUUUAUCCGGUUCCGGCAACGCCAAUACCGGUGUACUUGUAAGAAUCUUCUUAAGCUCCGAGAAACUCUUCUCACAAUCUGUCGACCACACGAAUGGUACAUCUUUCCCCGUUAACUUUGUCAAUGGCUGCGCCAUGCUCGAAAAUCCUUUAACAAAACGUCGGUAAUACCCAGCCAAACCAAGAAAACUUCUUAUCUCCGAUGCAUUUUGAGGUCUCGGCCAAUCCGCAAUUGACUUGAUCUUCUCAUGAUCGACGGACACUCCUUUAUCCGACACCACAUGCCCCAAAAAUCCAAUUUCUUUUUGCCAAAAGCUACACUUACUUAGCUUGGCGAACAACUUAUGUUCUCUUAGCUUACACAACACUUUUCUCAGAUGCACGCCAUGCUCUUCCGGAUUCUUCGAAUAAACUAGAAUGUCAUCAAUAAAGAUGAUAACAAACUCGUCCAAGUAUUCCCGGAAUACAUUGUUCAUGAGCUUCAUGAAAGCGCCGGGAGCGUUAGUCAGCCCGAAAGGCAUGACAACGAAUUCGUAAUGCCCGUACCUUGUCCGAAAGGCCGUCUUACUGAUAUCCGACUCAUCGAUCGGAAUUUGAUGAUAGCCCGAGGCUAGAUCAAUCUUCGAGAAACAAGCAGCACCUCUAAGUUGGUCCAACAACUCGUCAAUCCUCGGAAGAGGGUAGUUAUUCUUCACCGUCACUCUAUUCAGGCCGCGGUAGUCGAUACAAAGUCUGAAACUUCCAUCUUUCUUCUUUACAAAGAGAACCGGUGCACCCCAAGGUGAACUGCUUGGUCUCACAAAUCCUUUGUCCAUUAGCUCACUAAGCUGCUUCUUCAAUUCGGCCAUUUCCGCCGGAGCCAUCCGAUACGGUGACUUAGAGAUUGGAGCUGUUCCCGGCUCAAGUUGAAUCGUGAACGGAUCCGAACGUGUCGGUGGCAAACCAGACAACGCUCCGAACACGUCUUUGAAAUCUUGCACCACCGGAAUAUCCUUAACUUCUUGCUCGGUUCCCACUUGCACCGUAGAGAUUGUCGCCAGGUACGCUUCAUACCCUUUCUGAAUCAUAUGCUCCGCUUGAACUGCAGAAACAAUCAAGCUUCCGGACGAUGGUUUGAUUCCCCGAUACACCAGUAAACCUUUAGGCGUCUCGAAUACAACUCGUCCACGGCGACAGUCCAAAUGUGCUGAAUAUUUGCCGAGCCAGUCCAUUCCCAUGAUUACAUCAUGAUCAUCUAUGCGGCAAAUCACCAAGUUCGUGGGCAUAUCAACUCCACAUAUCAUCACGGAGAUGUUCCGGACCUUUCCAUAGGUCAUCAUCUUUUGUCCACCGGCUGCUUUAACAAGACCAAAGUCUUGUCCGGGUUCCUUUUGAAACCCACCUUUACCAAUCAUUUCCGGGGACACGAAGCAACGCGAAGCCCCGGAAUCAAACAAUACAUGGGUUUCCACAGCACCCAUGAGAAGGGUCCCUACACAUUUACCUAAAAUGCUAAGAGCCCAACCCGACAAGCAACAGGCAAGCUACCAAAAACAUUGCUAAGGUAAGUGACAAGACUUACCCGUGAUCGGACGUGAAGUGCUUGCCUCAUUCACAUACUCCUCGGACACCGAGUAAACCCUUGGCAUGAUUGCUGGCCUCUUAGGCGGUGGUGGCAGCGCCUCACUUGACCGCUUCCCAGCUAGCUGCAUAAGCUUCGGACAAUUAGGCCUCAAAUGACCAGCUUCACCACAAUGGAAACAUGACCGCGUAUCCGGCUGUCGAUCCCUUUCCGGACACUCGCUGAUCCGAUGAUCCUUGCUACCACAACGGAGACAUUGUCCCGAAAGGAGCCUGCACGUACCAGAAUGCAUCUUUUUGCAAGUCGGGACACACUCGGUUCUGUCCCGAUGACUUUCCUUGGAAAUUCUUUUUCCCCCAAUUCUUCUUCUGUCCGCCACCUUGGUCAGAUUUGCUUUGCGGAGCAGAUUGAGUCGACACUUGAAAAUUUGACAGCUUUGCCUUCUCCUCAAGGCGAGCUUCAAGCAAUGCUGCCUUUUCCACCAACUCGGAUAGAGUCGCAUAAUCCCGGAUGCUACAACCGAUCUGGAGAUCAACAUCCAACGCACGCAUGAAUCGGCGAAUCUGGGCUUGUUCGUCAUCCAUGUCUCGGCCACCAAACUUCUUAAGCCGGUCAAACUCCACUUGUAAUUACCUCACCGUCAUUGAUCCUUGACGCAAGUCCAAAAACUCCGACUCAAGCUUGUUGCGAGCUUCUUGCGGAAAAUACUUAGCGUGAAACAAAUCACGAAAAUUUUCCCACGUACAGUUCGGAUUCGCCAUCCGAUUAGACACAUCAGUCCACCAAGUAUCCGCCUCCUCAGCAAGGUAGUGGGUAGCAAUGUCUUUCCGAUACGCAAUCGGACAUCGAACAGAGUUGAAGUUUCUCUCCAACCGAGUCCUCCAUUCAACCGCCUUGAUAGGGUCAGCACCACCGGAGAAGUAACUCGUCCCCAACUUCAUCAUGUGAUCCAUCACAGUCAAGUACGAUGGAUUAUUCUCCUGACCCACUGGUGGUACGUUCCCAACUGGUGGAUUCUCCGCCGGCUGUGGAGCUAAUCUUUCCAAGAUUUGCGCCAACACGCCCAACACUUGCCCCAUUUCGGGCGGAACAGCACCCGCGACGGCAGCAGCAGCUACUCCAAUUCCACCACCGAUAGGCGCAUUCACGUUUCCAGCGUUUUGAUUAGCCGGCUGUUCAUUUCCUUCACGAGCAGCGUUCCUUGCUGAAGCAUUUCCCACAUUCCUAACAGGUCGAACCAUCUGCAAAUACCGGAUUCGAUACUAAGUUAGUCUAUUACUAACUUAGUUUCUAAUUACAGAAAAAUAACCAGUCUUACCGUGAGACAUCAGGCUUCGGAAGGAUGGAUUUACAUACUAACCCGUUUACACUAAGACUGUCCUAGAAUCGACCAUGCUCUGAUACCAACUUGAAAGACCCUAACCCAAAUUUUCAAAAUUUUCAUUCAAGUUCAAAGGUACUUUCGAUAAAACUUAACAUAACCGCAUAAGAUCGAUAGACAAGUCAAUAAUGCGAAACAGAUUACUUGAAUUCCAAACGAGGUUCUAGUACAAACGGCAAGUUCGCUAAUAAGCUAUUACAUCGUUUUCAACACUAGACCGAAUUAUUAAAACUAUCCCAAUCCACCAUCCUUCCCUUUCCUUGCCUUUGUCUCACGAGCUGGUUCAGCCACAAGAAUUACUUCCAUUUCCUGCAUCCAAAAGGAGGCGUAAGCAAACGAAUUUGCUUAGUGGAGCGGUCGUCCCGUCACACUUGGCACAGUCAAGAAAUCACAUUCAUUUAUAUCGAUUCAAGAAGUUAAACAAGCAAGCCAUAAACAUAACAUACCGUCGAGAUAAUUAUCGGAACCACCAUCGAUUAACUAUCAAGACAUUAUCGCGAUAACACAUAAACCAUGACAAGCAAGUAAACAUCAAUGAAUCAAUUAAUAAAAACGACUCAAGACUCGGCCACGGUCACGCUCUCACCUUUCUCACACGGAUUCACUUUCCGACACCUCU